rnacentral:rRNA from 1 species
GACGUAGGGCGCGAGCGUUGUCCGGAUUUAUUGGGCGUAAAGAGCUCGUAGGCGGCUCAUUGCGUCAACCGUGAAAUCCUGCUGCUCAACGGCAGGUCUGCGGUUGAUACGGGUGGGCUGGAGUUCGGUAGGGGAGACUGGAAUUCCUGGUGUAGCGGUGAAAUGCGCAGAUAUCAGGAGGAACACCGGUGGCGAAAGCGACUUCCUGGACCAAUACUGACGCUCAUGUGCGAAAGCGUGGGGAGCAAACAGG